CUUCAAGUUGGAUCUUGGGGGAGGCUGCCUCCUGGAGUCUGAGAAUCGUCGUCCCGGGUUAUGAUUGCCACCUAGCGGCCAGUGCGAGAAGCGCAUGGCUGUGCCUUUGGUCUGACUUCCUUCUAACAGUGCUAUGCAAAACAGAAGUGAGCUGGCUUCCUACCUACCCGAAACGUCUGAAUGGGAUGCGACGAGAAAGUUCGCCGGUCAGGUCCGGAGGAUGUCACGGGUCACGCAUCCGCUGCACCUGUGCCCGCAGCCUGGGGCGUCCUGGGGCGGCUUACAGCCCAGCUGCCGCCAACCGCAGCCAUCAGUCCUCUCCGGGAAUGUCCUCAGCUGAAGAGAACCGUGCAGGGCAAGGCCGUGCCCCCUUUCUGAGCAGCCACAGCCCUGAUUGGUCAGGGGGGUUGUAAAGGCCCAAUCUCUUCACCUGAAAUGAGGGAGGGGGCCCCGGAGAGCAGAUGCCAGGAUGGGGUUCUGGACCUGGGCCGGGGGCUGCUGGCCGGCGGCGAGGACUCCGGGCCUGUGUCCCUGG